rnacentral:tRNA from 1 species
CGGGGUGUGGCGCAGUUGGCUAGCGCACCUGCUUUGGGAGCAGGGGGUCGCAGGUUCGAAUCCUGCUACCCCGA